rnacentral:rRNA from 1 species
AUACGUAGGGCGCGAGCGUUGUCCGGAUUUACUGGGUGUAAAGGGUGCGUACGCGGCUCUGCAAGUCGGGUGUGAAACCCCUCGGCUUAACUGAUGGACUGCAUUUGAAACUGUGGGGCUUGAGUGGAGUAGAGGCAGACGGAAUUCCCGGUGUAGCGGUGAAAUGCGUAGAGAUCGGGAAGAACACCAGUGGCGAAGGCGGUCUGCUGGGCUCUAACUGACGCUGAGGCACGAAAGCAUGGGUAGCAAACAGGAUUAGAUACCCUGGUAGUCCAUGCCGUAAACGAUGAUUACUAGGUGUGGGGAGUCUGACCCUCUCCGUGCCGGAGUUAACACAAUAAGUAAUCCACCUGGGAAGUACGACCGCAAGGUUGAA